AUUGCAGAUGACCCAACGAUACUAUGUGGUGUCGAAUUGGAACUGCCGCAGUUGGAGCUGAUAGGACCAUGCCAUGAAAUUUUUUUCUGGGAAGCUACAUAUUUAGAUCCUACCAAUGCAUAUGAGAAAGCAUGCCUCAGAGCAGUUUCCUUUCUACAGAUUUUUUACAACCUCAAAAUUACAAAUUAUUAUUCCAAUGGACAUUAUUAUUCCAAUGGUAUACCUCCCCAUUUUCACAUAAAAAGCCUUUCUGUAUUGCUUGAUCCCUACUAUGAGAUCGAAACCUAUGCCAUGGACAAAAAAAACAGGAAUUUGUACUGUCGAAGGGACUGCAUUGAGUAUCAAUUCCAUCCGAACCACAGGUUUCCUCUCAUAUCCACGCCGUUCUGGUUAUGAAACAUUCACACAUACAUUCCCUGUUACCAUGAAAAUCAGCUUGCUAUCUGUACUAGAAAAGAACUCCUCUGAUUGGCUACAACCUCCUUGCCUCAACACAUAUCCGCACAACGAAAAUACAUCUCGCAAUAAAGAUCCAGAAAAAAGAUGUAAAUUCAGACAUGGUGAGGGAAUGCAACAGAGCUGUGUACGAAGCUGAAAUAGAAGAUGAAAGAAGGAUGAAGAACUUGCCUACCUUCCAUGGCUUCACAUAUUCAGGAGAAACUUCAGACAAGGACGACCCAAACGAAGCGGAGCCAACUAUCAUGCAG